rnacentral:rRNA from 1 species
AGAGUUUGAUCCUGGCUCAGGACGAACGCUGGCGGCGUGCCUAACACAUGCAAGUCGAACGGAGUUGAAAGGAGCUUGCUUUUUUCAACUCAGUGGCGGACGGGUGAGUAACGCGUGAGUAACCUGCCUUUCAGAGGGGGAUAACGUUCUGAAAAGAACGCUAAUACCGCAUAAGAUUGUAGCUUCGCAUGGAGCAGCAAUCAAAGGAGCAAUCCGCUGAAAGAUGGACUCGCGUCCGAUUAGAUAGUUGGCGGGGUAACGGCCCACCAAGUCGACGAUCGGUAGCCGGACUGAGAGGUUGAUCGGCCACAUUGGGACUGAGACACGGCCCAGACUCCUACGGGAGGCAGCAGUGGGGAAUAUUGCACAAUGGAGGAAACUCUGAUGCAGCGAUGCCGCGUGAGGGAAGAAGGUUUUAGGAUUGUAAACCUCUGUCUUCAGGGACGAAAAAAGACGGUACCUGAGGAGGAAGCUCCGGCUAACUACGUGCCAGCAGCCGCGGUAAUACGUAGGGAGCAAGCGUUGUCCGGAUUUACUGGGUGUAAAGGGUGCGUAGGCGGAUUGGCAAGUCAGAAGUGAAAUCCAUGGGCUUAACCCAUGAACUGCUUUUGAAACUGUUAGUCUUGAGUGAAGUAGAGGUAGGCGGAAUUCCCGGUGUAGCGGUGAAAUGCGUAGAGAUCGGGAGGAACACCAGUGGCGAAGGCGGCCUACUGGGCUUUAACUGACGCUGAGGCACGAAAGUGUGGGUAGCAAACAGGAUUAGAUACCCUGGUAGUCCACACUGUAAACGAUGAUUACUAGGUGUGGGGGGUCUAACCCCCUCCGUGCCGGAGUUAACACAAUAAGUAAUCCACCUGGGGAGUACGACCGCAAGGUUGAAACUCAAAGGAAUUGACGGGGGCCCGCACAAGCAGUGGAGUAUGUGGUUUAAUUCGACGCAACGCGAAGAACCUUACCAGGUCUUGACA